rnacentral:tRNA from 1 species
UUCUAGCUCAGUGGUCGAGCUUUGGCUUUGGAAGCCACCGGUCGGUGGUUCGAUUCCACCCGCGCGCAG